rnacentral:rRNA from 1 species
GAUGAACGCUGGCGGCGUGCUUAACACAUGCAAGUCGAACGAAGCACUUUAUUUGAUUUCCUUCGGGACUGAUUAUUUUGUGACUGAGUGGCGGACGGGUGAGUAACGCGUGGGUAACCUGCCUUGUACAGGGGGAUAACAGUUGGAAACGGCUGCUAAUACCGCAUAAGCGCACAGCAUCGCAUGAUGCAGUGUGAAAAACUCCGGUGGUAUAAGAUGGACCCGCGUUGGAUUAGCUAGUUGGUGAGGUAACGGCCCACCAAGGCGACGAUCCAUAGCCGACCUGAGAGGGUGACCGGCCACAUUGGGACUGAGACACGGCCCAAACUCCUACGGGAGGCAGCAGUGGGGAAUAUUGCACAAUGGGCGAAAGCCUGAUGCAGCGACGCCGCGUGAGCGAAGAAGUAUUUCGGUAUGUAAGGCUCUAUCAGCAGGGAAGAUAAUGACGGUACCUGACGAAGAAGCACCGGCUAAAUACGUG